ensembl:lncRNA
CGGUGAUGGUAUUAUAUCACGGUAUGUUAAUUGUAACUUCUAAUUUCGAUAUAAAUGUUAAGCUUGCUGGUAGUUCUACCAUGAGGACUCAAAUCACGCGCGGCUGGCCACCAAUCACCAGCUACCAAUCACCUGCCUACACCUGCUCUAUAAAGAGUAGUCUAACAUGUUUUUGCUGCUCAGGUCUUCGUUCGACGCAUACUGCUGCUUUACUGUGCUUCUGAUUACCUUGCAUAUCUCGUCGCUCAGUUGCUACGUUGGUUAAUACACACCAAGAGGUCAUAACUUCGGAUUCGUGCUGGUCGGCCUGGUCCGGGCAAGCGAGCGCAGAAAGCCGUUCAUUUCGGUCCCCGGUAUCCUCAACAACACCACCAACAAGUUCCCAACACGGACAUCCGCCUGGUUCUACAAACCCUCGCCGAGUUGGUGCAAAGCAUUGGCGCCAGGAUGGACGUCGUCGAAACACCACGCGGAACUCCCGGACGGGUCCCGGCCCCCAACCCGCUGUCGUCAGUCGCCACGGCGCCUUUCUACUUCCAGCAACCAUCAGGCUCGGCUUCCUCCGCCUUCACAGGCUACGCACCUGGUCUUCGUUCGACGCACCUCCAUCCACCCCACCACCACCAGGUCGGCCUCAGUCUACUUGUCCAGGGGAAGGCUCCGCCCCUGCUAGUCCUGGCAGGAUACGCCGAGUCCGCACGUCACCCUGGAUCAGUGACGGGGCUCAUGCCAAAGAUUUUUCCAUGCAAAAUAUUCCCAUGACGUUAUUUAAAUAAAUCCUGUUC